GAUGAACGCUAGCGACAGGCCUAACACAUGCAAGUCGAGGGGCAGCACAUGAGUAGCAAUACGAUGGUGGCGACCGGCGCACGGGUGAGUAACACGUAUGCAACCUGCCUGUAAGAGGGGAAUAACCCGGAGAAAUUCGGACUAAUACCGCAUAAUACCGAGAGACUGCAUGGUUUUUCGGUUAAACAUUUAUGGCUUACAGAUGGGCAUGCGUAUGAUUAGCUAGUUGGUGAGGUAACGGCUCACCAAGGCAACGAUCAUUAGGGGUUCUGAGAGGAAGGUCCCCCACACUGGUACUGAGACACGGACCAGACUCCUACGGGAGGCAGCAGUGAGGAAUAUUGGUCAAUGGGCGAGAGCCUGAACCAGCCAAGUCGCGUGAAGG
rnacentral:rRNA from 1 species